rnacentral:rRNA from 1 species
GAUGAACGCUGGCGGCGUGCCUAAUACAUGCAAGUCGAGCGAACGGACGAGAAGCUUGCUUCUCUGAUGUUAGCGGCGGACGGGUGAGUAACACGUGGAUAACCUACCUAUAAGACUGGGAUAACUUCGGGAAACCGGAGCUAAUACCGGAUAAUAUUUUGAACCGCAUGGUUCAAAAGUGAAAGACGGUCUUGCUGCCACUUAUAGAUGGAUCCGCGCCGCAUUAGCUAGUUGGUAAGGUAACGGCUUACCAAGGCAACGAUGCAUAGCCGACCUGAGAGGGUGAUCGGCCACACUGGAACUGAGACACGGUCCAGACUCCUACGGGAGGCAGCAGUAGGGAAUCUUCCGCAAUGGGCGAAAGCCUGACGGAGCAACGCCGCGUGAGUGAUGAAGGUCUUCGGAUCGUAAAACUCUGUUAUUAGGGAAGAACAUAUGUGUAAGUAACUGUGCACAUCUUGACGGUACCUAAUCAGAAAGCCACGGCUAACUACGUGC